ensembl:lncRNA
CCUUGAACACCUCCUCCUUUUGGAACUUUGCAUUCGAAGGCGCUGUGAGAGGCGAUUUCUGCCAUAAGCCACAUUAUCUCUGAUGAUCCAUUCCCGUCUCUUCCAUUGUGAGUGGAAGUGCAGAAAAAAACAAGGUCAUAACUCAGAGAAAGAGGCUGGAGCCAUCUCAUAAAACCCAACUAUUCUGAACAGGAAAUCCACAAAUGCCGAGAGCCCGUUCCAUGUGCAAACUGUCCAAGGAAGGCUAAGUAAAAGCAUGACCUUCACUCCCACAAUCUUCUCUGAAGCGUGUGUUUUGUUAACUAUACCAGUUGCAUGCAGGAUUCCCUCCUCUUAUUUUUGUUAGACAACAAUUAUAUGCUGGGUCAUGUGUGGUGCAUUUAUCCCUUGAUUUAUUUUUCCUAUUAGAUAUUUUGCUACCCAUGGGGCAUGAGCAUGACACUGUUUGCCGAAUUAAAAAUCGAGAUGUCACACAAAAUCCAGAUAUCCAAAAUCACUUAAAAUUUUUUUGAAGAUCCCGUCACCCACAUCCCCAUGUGUCAACAGCUGCCUCCCACAGAUGGAACAUUCGCUUCCAGUCAGUUCCUCUGCACAUCCCCCCUUGUUCUCACACCAGACCACCCUCAUUUGACAUUGACUCAACUCUAAUCUUUUACUUCCUGUCCUGGCUUUCUGCCUAAAAUAACUCCUCACAACCCAAUACUUAUGGUAAAACAGUCUUAUUGAAGUGCACGCAGGUCAUAAACUGUCAAAAUCUAAAGCCCCUUUGAUGGUAAUAUUUCAUUUUCACCUAGUUACCAAGAUUACACUAUCACAUAUUUUUUCCCUCAAUAUUAAUAAGCAACGCAGGAAUUAUACAAGUGGUUGAUGUGCAAUUGCCCUAACUUCUCUUUCUAGAUAGUCUUGCUUCUGUUUCCUAUUAGUGAAAGAAAAUCCCUCCUAAUCACAUCCUGCUUCAAACUACAUAACAUCACAAGACAGCCUCUGAAAUUAUAAUUGUUUCAGUAUCCUUAUUUUUCAGCAACUUCAAUAACUCUCCAAAAUAUAAUCAAAUAAGGGACUUAACUUUUUUUUUUCCCUUUUUAGGGCCACACCCAUGGCAUAUGGAAGUUCCCAGGCUAGGGGUCCAAUCAGAGCUAUGGCUGCUGGGCCACACCACAGCCACAGCAACAUGGGAUCUGAGCCACAUCUGUGACCUACACCCUGGCUCAUGGCAAUACUGGAUCCCCGACUCACUGAAAUGAAGCCAGGGAUUGCACCCACAUCCUCAUGGAUACGAGUUGGGUGUAUUAGCUGCAUCACACGGGGGAACUCCCAAGGGAAUUAAGUCUUUUAUCUUUUUGUUAUUAUUGAACUGUGAAGCAGAGGUCUUUCUGGGUUUUUGGUUCUGGUGCAUUUCAGAAAGUAAGUUAUUCAGUUAGUCAGGUAGUUUUAAGUUUUAUAUUACCAGUACAACUCUAAUUUUCUUAUACAAUUACCUACUUACAAUAGGUUUCAUGAAAAAAGACAUGUAACAAGCAUCUAAUUUUAUACUGCUGGCCUAUUUGCAUUGUUUUAGUCAGUCUGGCAGACUUUAUAGAACAAAGUGAAACCUCACCCUAAAAUUUUUGACACUUAAAUAGUCAAAAUAUACUAGAUUUUUUUCUCUGCCAAAAAUCUCUGUGCUAAUGUUCUAAUGCAGUUGAGCUGUGGGAAAGAAUACACGCAGCUUUUGCUCAAAACGAUUCAAGAAAUCAUUUAAAAUUAAUUUCUCACCAAAGACUAGAGAAGAAUCUCUCAAGAAUUCUUCAGAAGCACAUGGAAAAUUUUCAUGACCCUCUGCAGGGUAUAAAACAAUAUUUAAAAAGUCAUUGAGGGAGUUCCCAUUGUGGCUCAGUGGUUAGCGAAUCCGACUAGGAACCAUGAGGUUUCGGGUUUAAUCCCUGGCCUUGCUCAUUGGGUCAAGGAUCCAGCAUUGCCACCUUAUCAAUACCCUAGAAGGCCCCUCCUGCCCUUUAUGGGCAAUGCCACCCUUAAGGAUAACCACUAUUAUGACUUCAUAGAGUGUACUUUUGAUGCAAAGAAUUUUAUUUGCAUAGGUUCUAAAUAUGAAUGUUUUUCAAUGUUUCUAAAUGCUAUAGUAACAAACAGUAAUAAUCAAUGAACAUUUAAAAUCAUUUAAAAUUGUAUUUUAAUUGUAUUUCACAGAAUACCUUGCUUCUUUUUCUACAUUGCAUUUAUUUAUUUAUUUUUGCCACACCUGCAGCAUGCAGAAGUUUCCAGGCCAGGGAUCAAUCCCAUGCCACAGCAGUGACAAUGCCAGAUCUUUGACCCACUGAGCUGCAUGAAAACUUCUGCAUCCUUUUUUUUUUUUUUUUUUUUGCUUUUUAGGGCUGCCCCGGUGACAUAUGGAUGUUCUCAGGCUAGGGGUCCAAUCAGAGCUAUAGCUGCCGGCCUAUGUCACAGCCACAGCAACAUCAGAUCCGAGUCACAUCUGCAAUCUAUACCACAGCUCAUCGCAACACCAGAUCCUUAACCCACUGGGUGAGGCCAGGGAUCGAACCUGAAACCUCAUGGUUCCCAGUUGGAUUUGUUUCCGCUGUGCCACAAGGGGAUCUCUACUCCUGCACCCUUUUCAUUUAUUUAAAAAUGUUUUAAAAUUUUUUAGUUUUUGCUUUCUAGGGCUACACCCAUGGCACAUGCGUGGAGGUUCCCAUGCUAAGGGUUGAAUCAGAGCUGUAGCUGCCCCUGCCACAGCCACAGCAAUGCCAGAUCCAAGCUGCGUCUGCAACCUACACCACAGCUCAUGGCAAUGCCGGAUCCUUAACCCACUGAAUGAGGCCACGGAUUGAACCUGCGUGCACAUGGAUACUAGUCAGAUUCGUUUCUGAUAAGCCACGACAGGAACUCCUCCCAUAUCCUUUUUUAAAAAGUUAUUGUUUUAUUCGUCUUCAUUUUCCAACAUGAAUCUUUGGUCUAUACUUGAGAUCUCUGCUUUCCAUUUUGGCUA